rnacentral:pre_miRNA from 1 species
AAGGUACUCCCUCCGUCCCAAAAUUCUUGUCUUAGAUUUGUCUAGAUACGGAUGUAUCAAGUCACAUUUUAGUAUUAGAUACAUCCGUAUCUAGACAAAUCUAAGACAAGAAAUUCAGGACAGAGGGAGUAGUUG